GAUGAACGCUGGCGGCGUGCCUAAUACAUGCAAGUCGAGCGAAUGGAUUAAGAGCUUGCUCUUAUGAAGUUAGCGGCGGACGGGUGAGUAACACGUGGGUAACCUGCCCAUAAGACUGGGAUAACUCCGGGAAACCGGGGCUAAUACCGGAUAACAUUUUGAACCGAAUGGUUCGAAAUUGAAAGCCGGCUUCGGCUGUCACUUAUGGAUGGACCCGCGUCGCAUUAGCUAGUUGGUGAGGUAACGGCUCACCAAGGCAACGAGGCGUAGCCGACCUGAGAGGGUGAUCGGCCACACUGGGACUGAGACACGGCCCAGACUCCUACGGGAGGCAGCAGUAGGGAAUCUUCCGCAAUGGACGAAAGUCUGACGGAGCAACGCCGCGUGAGUGAUGAAGGCUUUCGGGUCGUAAAACUCUGUUGUUAGGGAAGAACAAGUGCUAGUUGAAUAAGCUGACACCUUGACGGUACCUAACCAGAAAGCCACGGCUAACUACGUGCCAGCAGCCGCCGUAA
rnacentral:rRNA from 1 species